AGAGGAAUCAGGCUGGUGAAGAGUCAUGGGAGUUUUCCCCUUCUGCUGCGACAAGCUCCCCUUCCCACUUUUUCCCAGAAACAGAAGAGGACUGAAACAGGUGGAGCAGCAGCAAGCUGCACACAGUUCAAUCUCAGAUUGCUUGGGAAACGCCCUGUAGAGGAUGGGACUUAGAUGGCUGUGAGCAGGUGGGGAUUUUCAGUCUUGGCAACUGAUUCAUGAGGAAAGACCUACCCGGGAUGAGCUGCUGUGCUCAUUAGGCCUGGCACUCAGCCAAAUCUGUGAGGGUUAUGUUUUUGCUAAUACUGUAAAGGGUUAACUCCAGCUUUGCACAGUGUGAAUGACUGCUGACUCACUCUGUGGUGUGUGUGUGUGUGCUGAAAUAAGAAUCUUGCCCACUGACCAGAUCCUGUCCUCCUCUUACGCUGCAAUAUCAAAACCAACAUAAAAUGAUCCUUCAAAAUUUGCAUGCCUCUGGUUUUGGGGGUGCAGUUUCUCAACCAACCAGUGUGUACAAAUAUGCACACCCCGUGGGAAAUGUUCAUCACACAAAGAAGCAUUUCAUUAGGCAAAUAGCUUGCAAAAACAUGCACAUUUGCACGAAAAUUGUGAUAAAUUUUCAUGAUUUUGUGUGUUUUUAAAGAUCGCAAAUUGCUGCAGAAACGUUGUUAUUCUGAGAUUGGAAAACCGAAACUGACAAAGGGAAAGCCAAAAUCGAUUUAUUUGUCCACCCCUAGUGUCUCCCUACUUUAGUGAGUGGACUGGCUGGCAUACAGAUGUGGCUGCAUCAUCAGCCUGUGAUUGGUGGGAAUCAUUGGUGUUUCUUUUCAUGUUGGGGGCGUGGCUGUCAUAGCUGCUCCAAUUUUUGUGGUGGCAUCACUUUUACCUUCUCAGCCUUAUUGCUGGGCAAGUCUAGGAUACCAAUGAAGUUGGUGCCCAGUAUAUAUAUACCGGUAUAUAUAUAUAUAUAUAUAUAUAUAUAUAUAUAUAUAUAUUUUUCUGUCCAGUGGAUUUAAUGCUGUUAGAAGGGACUUUGCUUCAGAAUCACGGACUGAAAAUAACGUUGGUUUCUUCUGGAUUUGGGCCAUAUUCACACCAUAUAUUUAAAGCACUAUAAUACUACUUUUGACAGUCAUGGCUCCUUCCCCCAAGGAAUUCUGGGAGCUCUGGUUUGUUAUGGGUGCACAAAGACCCCUAUUCUCCUCAUACAGCUACAGUUUUCAGAGCGGUUUAACAAUCAAUCCCUCUUCACAGAGAACUCUGGGAAUUGUAGCACUGGGAGGGGGGAAAGGGGUCUCCAAACAACUCUCAGCUCCCUCAGCAAACUGCUUAAUGUGGUAGAAUGCUUUAAAUUUGUGGUUUGAAUGCGGUCUUUGUACCGUCCAUCUCCUAGUCUCUACAAUGGCGCACUUAUGGGGUAGGGGGAAGAGAGGAAACCUAAUUAGGCAGGGAAGAGAAGACCCAAUACUCCCCACUGCAACCAUCAAAUCAUCACCAUGGGAGACUCGAGUCUAAACAGAGCAGAAGGCCUCUGUGCCCUCAUCUCCUGUGCUUUUUCACCAGUAUGAGCAUAAGUGGCCCUCCAGCAUGUCAGGAAUCAUAGAAUUGUUGAGUUGGAAGGGACCCUGAGGAUCAUCUAGCACCCUGCAAUGCAGGAAUAUGCAGCUGGCCAGUAUGAGGACUACAGGAUCUUUGUCCAAAACUCAGCUGUGAACCAGGAUGUCCUCAGUUCAGAUCUGCCCUCGGCCACAAACUCAAGAGCUACCCUUAGGUAACUGCCUAUUCGCUUGGCCUCAGUCUUCCCAUCUGCAGUACGGGGAUAACUAUACUGACCUACCUCAAAUUACACAAGGCUGUUAGAGUGAUUAGUCAAAGCGUACUGGACUCUCAACCACACCAGAUGAAUGUUAAGUUUUCUUGUUGCUAGAAUAUAGUAUUUCCAGUUAAUUUCCUCAUGUUUUUGGAAGUGGUGAAAUAGUAAAUGCCAAGGUCCUUUGGAAGAUGUGAGGACAUGAGAUUUCUACUGAAUGCCCCUGGGGAAUUCUUAAAAGUGCAAGGAGUGAAACGGAGCUCCAAGGUUUAGCAAUGGCACAUUCAAAUCUUGAGAUUUCACACACUCUGCUAGCCCAGGAGGGACUGUACCAAGUCUGAGUAUCACACACUAGAGUUGAGAUCAUGUAUUUAAGCUGUCAUGGUGUUGAUUUCUCCACAACAAUGGUAUGGGUGGGUAGACGCAGUAGCUCCAACGGAGUCUAAUAGUAACCUUGCAAUUUCAAAAAAUGAAAAGAAAAAAAUGGGGAAAAAAUGCAGCCAAUCCUGUUUGAGAGUGAGACUUAAUCUGAAUCAAGUGGCAAUUAGCUCCAGAACCUACCGGUAUUUAUCAUGCAGUGCCUCAGCCCCCCUGGGUGAAAUGCAAAGGUGAUUCGUCAAACUGAAGCUAUGCUUCAAAACAUGUGCCCAAAACGCUCUUCUCUCACUACUAACUGGUCCGAAACAUGCACUUGUGGGGGAAAGACUUUGGGGGUGGGCAAAGCACUUGACUCUCAGCCCUAGACCCCCCCCCCCCCGCUGCGAGAUGAAACCAUUUUGAAAGCACUGCAAAAAAUCAUAGCUUACCAAAGGUUCAAGAUUAUUUUAACAAAUAACAAUGUGCUGAUACAGUACAGUCAAAGUGCAUGGAACUUUCCAGAGCUACGUAAGACCAGGUCCCUGCCCUGCACAGCUUACAAUCUGCAUGUAACAAGAGGGGAAGAGAGGGCAGAAGCAAUGGUGGGGAAGAAGAGAAGAGGGGAGGGAGGAGAGAGGGGAGGAUUACAGUUCAUGAUGUUUCAUAUGAUCUAGCAGCUUAGCAGCCAUAGAGAAGGUAAUUAAUGAAAGAGAUAAAAGCCUCUGCAGGAUAUAUGGAUCGUGUUAAAGAGGUCAGAGAUGAUAUUCAGGCAGCUUGAGGGAGCCUGUGAUGUUCUCAUGCAACUCUUUAUUCCUAUAUCCUCCAGAGAGACACCGACCAUCAAAACAAGUCUGAAUGUAGAGGUUGGAUGGAUCCAGCACCUUCAAUGGCACCUUGGAAGGGUUGUUUUUUCGAAACUGGGGCUCUGGUGCUGUUACACACACACACACACACACACACACACACACACACACUCAUUUCAGCCAGCAAAGGGGGUUCUGUGCUGCCCCAGCCUUUUGCCACCCAAUUCCACCCAACUCUGCCUCCCCUUUGCCAACAACAUCCCUUAAGAGACUGGUGGAAAAUGAUGCUUUGGAAAGCAGAAUAUCUCUCUCUCUCUCUCUCUCUUCCUCUAAGUGGGAGCUGCUAUAGCCUGUAGAAAGGUGAAGUGCCCAGAUACACACACACAACUAACUAGACAUGGAAUACGGCGCUAUGGGAAGAAAAGUGCAGACAACAGACAGGCACGCAGAAGGAACGCAGCCCCUGGCACCGCAGCAGAGGCCAAUCUGUAACACCCCUCGCCCCCCCCC